rnacentral:sRNA from 12 species
GAAGUGCGAACCAAGCAGUCACACGCUGGUGAUGUGAGACUUGGAGCUGACCUUGGUGACGGGGUCAUGCA